rnacentral:rRNA from 1 species
GACGAACGCUGGCGGCGUGCUUAACACAUGCAAGUCGAACGGAAAGGCCCUGCUUUUGUGGGGUGCUCGAGUGGCGAACGGGUGAGUAACACGUGAGUAACCUGCCCUUGCCUUUGGGAUAACUUCAGGAAACUGGGGCUAAUACCGGCUAGGAGCUCCUGCUGCAUGGUGGGGGUUGGUAAGUUUCGGUGGUUGGGGAUGGACUGGCGGCUCAUCAGCUUGUUGGUGGGGUAGUGGCUUACCAAGGCUUUGACGGGUAGCCGUGCUGAGAGGGUGACCGGCCACAUUGCGCCUGAGAUGCGGCACAGACUCCUACGGGAGGCAGCAGUGCGGAAUAGUGCACAAUGGGCGGAAGCAUGAUGCAGCAACGCCGCGUGCGGGAUGACGGCCUUCGGGUUGUAAACCGCUUUCGCCUGUGACGAAGCGUGAGUGACGGUAAUGGGUAAAGAAGCACCGGCUAACUACGUG